rnacentral:rRNA from 1 species
AUUCCAGCUCCAAUAGCGUAUAUUAAAGUUGUUGCAGUUAAAAAGCUCGUAGUUGGAUUUGUGGUGCGUCCACGGCGUCCAUUCAUUUGGUUCUGCCGUGGCCUUGCCAUCCUUGGGUGGAUUCUGUGUGGCAUUAGGUUGUCGUGCAGGGGAUGCCCAUCGUUUACUGUGAAAAAAUUAGAGUGUUCAAAGCAGGCUUAUGCCGUUGAAUAUAUUAGCAUGGAAUAAUAAGAUAGGUCUUUGGUCCUAUUUUGUUGGUUUGCGGGCCAGAGAAAUGAUUAACAGGGACAGUUGGGGGUAUUCGUAUUCCAUUGUCAGAGGUGAAAUUCUUGGAUUUCUGGAAGACGAACUACUGCGAAAGCAUUUACCAAGGAUGUUUUCAUUAAUCAAGAACGAAAGUUAGGGGAUCGAAGAUGAUUAGAUACCAUCGUAGUC